AAGGAAUGCGACUUCGGUCAAAUGACUUUUGAACUUAGUGGCGGACGGGUGAGUAACGCGUGAGCAACCUGCCUUUCAGAGGGGGAUAACAUUUGGAAACAGAUGCUAAUACCGCAUAAGAUUACAGUACCGCAUGAUACAGUGAUCAAAGGAGCAAUCCGCUGAAAGAUGGGCUCGCGUCCGAUUAGAUAGUUGGUGAGGUAACGGCUCACCAAGUCGACGAUCGGUAGCCGGACUGAGAGGUUGAACGGCCACAUUGGGACUGAGACACGGCCCAGACUCCUACGGGAGGCAGCAGUGGGGAAUAUUGCACAAUGGGCGAAAGCCUGAUGCAGCAACGCCGCGUGAGGGAAGACGGUUUUCGGAUUGUAAACCUCUGUUUUCGGUGACGAACAAAUGACGGUAACCGAGUAGGAAGCCACGGCUAACUACGUGCCAGCAGCCGCGGUAAUACGUAGGUGGCAAGCGUUAUCCGGAAUUACUGGGUGUAAAGGGAGCGCAGGCGGGAUAGCAAGUCAGCUGUGAAAACUAUGGGCUCAACCCAUAAACUGCAGUUGAAACUGUUAUUCUUGAGUGGAGUAGAGGCAAGCGGAAUUCCGAGUGUAGCGGUGAAAUGCGUAGAUAUUCGGAGGAACACCAGUGGCGAAGGCGGCUUGCUGGGCUCUAAC
rnacentral:rRNA from 1 species